AUUGAACGCUGGCGGCAUGCCUUACACAUGCAAGUCGAACGGCAGCACGGCAGUAGCAAUACUGUGGGUGGCGAGUGGCGGACGGGUGAGGAAUACAUCGGGAUCUACCCCGUUGUGGGGGAUAACGUAGCGAAAGUUACGCUAAUACCGCAUAUGCCCUAAGGGGGAAAGCGGGGGAUUCGCAAGAACCUCGCGUUUUCGGAGCGGCCGAUAUCGGAUUAGCUAGUAGGUGAGGUAAAGGCUCACCUAGGCGACGAUCCGUAGCUGGUCUGAGAGGACGACCAGCCACACUGGAACUGAGGCACGGUCCAGACUCCUACGGGAGGCAGCAGUGGGGAAUUUUGGACAAUGGGCGCAAGCCUGAUCCAGCCAUGCCGCGUGAGUGAAGAAGGCCU
rnacentral:rRNA from 1 species